AACACAGGAUACCCAGUUAAAUUUGAAUUUCAGACAAAUAGUCAAUACAUUUUUAGUAUAAGUAUAUCCCAUGCAAUAUUUGGGAUAUACUUAUGCUAAAAAAUUAUUGGUUGUUUUUUCUGAAAUUCAACUUCAACUGAGCAUCCUGUAUUUU
rnacentral:miRNA from 1 species